UCCGGCAUGGUGUAGUGGCUAGCACAGUUCGCUCUCACCGAGCAGACCGGGGUUCGAUUCCCCGUACCGGAA
rfam:Cyberlindnera fabianii strain 65 BON22_Sc04, whole genome shotgun sequence.